rnacentral:rRNA from 1 species
GAGUUUGAUCCUGGCUCAGGAUGAACGCUGGCGGCGUGCUUAACACAUGCAAGUCGAACGAUGAUCCGGUGCUUGCACCGGGGAUUAGUGGCGAACGGGUGAGUAACACGUGGGUAACCUGCCCUCGAGCCUGGGAUACCCCCUCGAAAGGGGGGCUAAUACCGGAUACGUUCCUCGGAUCGAAAGUUCUGGGGAGGAAAGGUGGCGCAAGCUGCCGCUCUUGGAGGGGCUCGCGGCCUAUCAGCUAGUUGGCGGGGUAACGGCCCACCAAGGCUAUGACGGGUAGCUGGUCUGAGAGGACGACCAGCCACACGGGAACUGAGACACGGUCCCGACACCUACGGGUGGCAGCAGUUUCGAAUCAUUCACAAUGGGCGAAAGCCUGAUGGUGCGACGCCGCGUGAGGGAUGAAAGGUCUUUCAGUGGAAAU